rnacentral:rRNA from 1 species
GACAGAGGAGCCAAGCGUUGUCCGGAUUGACUGGGCGUAAAGCGCACGCAGGCGGAACGGCGCGUGGGGUGUGAAAGCUGGCGGCUUAACUGCCAGUCGCCAUCCCAUACGGCCAUUCUGGAGCCUUGCAGAGGGCAGUGGAAUUGCCGGUGUAGUGGUGAAAUGCGUAGAUAUCGGGAGGAACACCAGUGGCGAAGGCGGCUUCCUGGCCUGUUCUUGACGCUGAGGCGCGAAAGCUAGGGGAGCAAACGGG